GCCCCGUUAGUACAGUGGUGCGUAUCCCUGCCUGUCACGCGGGAGACCGGGGUUCGAUCCCCCAGCGGGGAG
rnacentral:tRNA from 1 species